GAAAGGCUUCGGCCGGACAGGGAUGGGCAUGCGGCGCAUUAGGCAGUAGGCGGGGUAACGGCCCACCUAACCGACGAUGCGUAGGGGUUCUGAGAGGAAGGUCCCCCACACUGGUACUGAGACACGGACCAGACUCCUACGGGAGGCAGCAGUGAGGAAUAUUGGUCAAUGGUCGGGAGACUGAACCAGCCAAGCCGCGUGAGGGAUGAAGGUACAGAGUAUCGUAAACCUCUUUUGUCAGGGAACAAAGGCGGGGACGUGUCCCCGGAUGAGUGUACCUGAAGAAAAAGCAUCGGCUAACUCCGUGCCAGCAGCCGCGGUAAUACGGAGGAUGCGAGCGUUAUCCGGAUUUAUUGGGUUUAAAGGGUGCGCAGGCGGUCUGUUAAGUCAGCGGUCAAAGCCCGGGGCUCAACCCCGGCCCGCCGUUGAAACUGGCAGUCUCGAGUUGGAGAGAAGUAUGCGGAAUGCGCGGUGUAGCGGUGAAAUGCAUAGAUAUCGCGCAGAACUCCGAUUGCGAAGGCAGCAUGCCGGCUCCACACUGACGCUGAGGCACGAAAGCGUGGGUAUCGAACAGGAUUAGAUACCCUGGUAGUCCACGCAGUAAACGAUG
rnacentral:rRNA from 1 species